CUAAGCAUAUCAAUAAGCGGAGGAAAAAGAAACUAACAAGGAUUCCCCUAGUAACUGCGAGUGAAGCGGGAAAAGCUCAAAUUUAAAAUCUGGCGGUCUCUGGCCGUCCGAGUUGUAAUCUAGAGAAGUGAUGCCCGCGCUGGACCGUGUACAAGUCUCCUGGAAUGGAGCGUCAUAGAGGGUGAGAAUCCCGUCUCUGACACGGACUACCAGGGCUUUGUGGUAUCCUCUCAAAGAGUCGAGUUGUUUGGGAAUGCAGCUCUAAAUGGGUGGUAAAUUCCAUCUAAAGCUAAAUAUUGGCGAGAGACCGAUAGCGAACAAGUACCGUGAGGGAAAGAUGAAAAGAACUUUGGAAAGAGAGUUAAACAGUACGUGAAAUUGCUGAAAGGGAAACGCUUGAAGUCAGUCGCGUUGGCCAGGAAUCAGCCUUGCUCUUGCAUGGUGUACUUUCUGGUUGACGGGUCAGCAUCAAUUUUGACUGCUGGAAAAAGGCUUGGGGAAUGUGGCAGCUUCGGCUGUGUUAUAGCCCUUUGUCACAUACAGCGGUUGGGAUUGAGGAACUCAGCACGCCGCAAGGCCGGGUUUCGACCACGUUCGUGCUUAGGAUGCUGGCAUAAUGGCUUUAAGCGACCCGUCUUGAAACACGGACCAAGGAGUCUAACAUGCCUGCGAGUGUUUGGGUGGUAAACCCGAGCGCGUAAUGAAAGUGAAAGUUGAGAUCCCUGUCGUGGGGAGCAUCGACGCCCGGACCAGAGCUUUUGUGACGGAUCCGCGGUAGAGCAUGUAUGUUGGGACCCGAAAGAUGGUGAACUAUGCCUGAAUAGGGUGAAGCCAGAGGAAACUCUGGUGGAGGCUCGUAGCGAUUCUGACGUGCAAAUCGAUCGUCAAAUUUGGGUAUAGGGGGCGAAAGACUAAUCGAACCAUCUAGUAGCUGGGUUCCUGCCG
rnacentral:rRNA from 1 species